rnacentral:rRNA from 1 species
UACGGAGGGUGCAAACGUUGCUCGGAAUCAUUGGGCGUAAAGGGCUCGUAGGCGGUCUGUUGCGUCGGGAGUGAAAACUCAGGGCUUAACCCUGAGCCUGCUUCCGAUACGGGCAGACUAGAGGUAUGCAGGGGAGAACGGAAUUCCUGGUGUAGCGGUGAAAUGCGCAGAUAUCAGGAGGAACACCGGUGGCGAAGGCGGUUCUCUGGGCAUUACCUGACGCUGAGGAGCGAAAGUGUGGGGAGCGAACAGG